AAGUCUACUAUGGGGCAGAAUCACUUUAUCCAGUUUCAAAAUUAGAAACCGGAACACAUAUGCACCAUACAUUUUCUUUUUAGUUUAAAGGGUAAAAGACAUGCAAAGAAAGGAAAAUGUGGAGGAGGACUUCGUUCACAUGAGAUAGGCAGUCCUUUUGUCUGGGACGCAUGUGGGGAUUCUCCUCCCCUCAUUCGUUGGUCAGAUCGGAAGCUAAUUUUCACACCAUUGCCCCCCUUUUGCACCGUCCAUUUCCUAUAACGUUAGUCAACUUUCAUAUAGACUUUGAUAAUGAAUAAGUACUUUAUAGAAUCACUAAACUUAUACGUACAGCAUGUUUGUGGGGUUGCUUUAAAAUGCAUGUUAUUGGAAAGGAAUGCGACCCGUUGCUCCACCCGUCAGAGGGGGACGUUUUCUAUAGGAAAACAUUGUUUAUGUAGGCUAGUAUGCUUAUUGAGGGUGGCAUAUGUCGGUUUGACGAAAAAUAUCUGCGGGUUUUCAUUAAAAGCACCAGGAUAAUUUGCUGUUUAUGUAGAAUUAGGAACCCAGACGAUAACACACAUACGUUUUAAAAAUAGCCUAUAUAUUAUAUACAAACAAAAGGCUAACAAAAGCAAAAACUGCUGCUUUCGCUAUCGUCGAAGAACGCUGGAAUUAAGCACUGUGUGGCCAGGUUGAUGAUGUGCAUUGAAGAAAAUCUAAAUUCAAGGAGAUUCUACAGAGACUUUUAUUUAAUGUGCCCAACAGUCAUUUGAACGAUUUGAUUAUUUGAAAUUUUGAACUAUUUUAAUUGCUGGAAUGGUCUGGAAAUGUAUUAACAAAAAUGAGUAAAACAAGAAAAAUAUUGUAAGAUAUUGUACACAAGUAGUGGGACUUAAGUAUUUAGCUUACUCUGUGUGCAAGUUGACUUAUGUGAGAGGAUGGCAUUCGUUUUUGUGAUAUCCAUUUUCACUACAUUUGGGUUUGUUAAAGUUUCUCAAGCAAAUAUGUAGAUUGCAUAUUUAAAGAUUUUAAAGUCAUUGAUUUUCAAGAAUUUUAAAAAGCAAACAAUUGCAGAGAAAUACACGAUUUGAAGAUGACAUAAGUACUAAUUCAAUAAAUCACAGCACAAUGAAAGAAUAGUCUCCUAUGCUCAUAUUAAAAAUGUCUAAUAAGAAACAAUAUUGAUAUGAUCAAGGAGCUUUUUUUGUCAUUAUAACAAUAUACUGACAGUUGAUGCAU
ensembl:lncRNA